rnacentral:rRNA from 1 species
AGUGAACGCUGGCGGUAGGCCUAACACAUGCAAGUCGAACGGCAGCACAGUAAGAGCUUGCUCUUACGGGUGGCGAGUGGCGGACGGGUGAGGAAUACAUCGGAAUCUACUUUUUCGUGGGGGAUAACGUAGGGAAACUUACGCUAAUACCGCAUACGACCUACGGGUGAAAGCAGGGGAUCUUCGGACCUUGCGCGAUUGAAUGAGCCGAUGUCGGAUUAGCUAGUUGGCGGGGUAAAGGCCCACCAAGGUGACGAUCCGUAGCUGGUCUGAGAGGAUAAUCAGCCACACUGGAACUGAGACACGGUCCAGACUCCUACGGGAGGCAGCAGUGGGGAAUAUUGGACAAUGGGCGCAAGCCUGAUCCAGCCAUACCGCGUGGGUGAAGAAGGCCUUCGGGUUGUAAAGCCCUUUUGUUGGGAAAGAAAAGCAGCAGGUUAAUACCCCGCUGUUCUGACGGUACCCAAAGAAUAAGCACCGGCUAACUUCGUG